GACGAACGCUGGCGGCGUGCUUAACACAUGCAAGUCGAACGGAAAGGCCCUGCUUCUGUGGGGUGCUCGAGUGGCGAACGGGCGAGUAACACGUGAGUAACCUGCCCUUGACUUUGGGAUAACUUCAGGAAACUGGGGCUAAUACCGGAUAGGAGCUCCUGCUGCAUGGUGGGGGUUGGAAAGUUUCGGCGGUUGGGGAUGGACUCGCGGCUUAUCAGCUUGUUGGUGGGGUAGUGGCUUACCAAGGCUUUGACGGGUAGCCGGCCUGAGAGGGUGACCGGCCACAUUGGGACUGAGAUACGGCCCGGACUCCUACGGGAGGCAGCAGUGGGGAAUAUUGCACAAUGGGCGGAAGCCUGAUGCAGCAACGCCGCGUGCGGGAUGACGGCCUUCGGGUUGUAAACCGCUUUCGCCUGUGACGAAGCGUGAGUGACGGUAAUGGGUAAAGAAGCACCGGCUAACUACGUG
rnacentral:rRNA from 1 species